UCCAGACUCCUACGGGAGGCAGCAGUGGGGAAUAUUGCACAAUGGGGGAAACCCUGAUGCAGCGACGCCGCGUGAGUGAAGAAGUAAUUCGUUAUGUAAAGCUCUAUCAGCAGGGAAGAAAAUGACGGUACCUGAGUAAGAAGCCCCGGCUAACUACGUGCCAGCAGCCGCGGUAAUACGUAGGGGGCAAGCGUUAUCCGGAUUUACUGGGUGUAAAGGGAGCGUAGACGGCAUGGCAAGUCAGAUGUGAAAGCCCGGGGCUCAACCCCGGGACUGCAUUUGAAACUGUCAGGCUGGAGUGCAGGAGAGGUAAGUGGAAUUCCUAGUGUAGCGGUGAAAUGCGUAGAUAUUAGGAGGAACACCGGUGGCGAAGGCGGCCUGCUGGACUGCGACUGACGUUGAGGCCCGAAAGCGUGGGGAGCAAACAGGAUUAGAUACCCGAGUAC
rnacentral:rRNA from 1 species